UACAGAUGUGAGCCACCACAUCCGGCUUAGCUUCUUUCAUUUUCUCAGGUCCUCUUUCUGCCAGCAACAGUUGUUCUGCAGUGUUUCUAGUGUGACUCCUCCUUGUGCAUGCACCCGAGUUCUGAGAAAAAGAAGCCAUUUAUCCCCAGUUCAGGUGCAAUAUGUCUGCUGAAAACAUGGUAGUAUUUUGCCAUCAUCAAUUUACUCAUCCAUUUGAACUAAGAGCCAGUCAGAAAGGUUGGGUGCAGCCAGGCUUUAGUUCUGUUUUGUUUUUGCUUUUGUUUUUCAGAAAGAGGAAAUUGGCACUAAUUUGAGCACAAUUGCUUGCAAACAUUUUACUGAUUUUUUGUUGUUUUGAUCUUGCUUAUAGGAAUUAUUGAGAAAAGAAAAAUCUUGGGAUGAUAAAUAUGGAGCAUCGGCCAUGGCCCUGACUAUGGGAAGGAAAGGAUCUCUAAAAUCCAGAAGUGAAAUAUCUUGGCAAGAAAAUUAAGCCCCAAGUGGCUUCAACAUUUGGCCUGGUGGUCAAGGAACUGUCAUAGUUACUGGGAUAACAACCAUUAUACA